AAGCGGUGAGCAUGUGGUUAAUUCGACGCAACGCGCAGAACCUUACCUGGGCUUGACAUCCCGAUCGCACCUUUUGGAAACUUAAGGGUCAGUUCGGCUGGAUCGGUGACAGGUGCUGCAUGGCUGUCGUCAGCCCGUGUCGUGAGAUGUUGGGUUAAGUCCCGCAACGAGCGCAACCCUUGUCAUUAGUUGCCAUCAUUUGGUUGGGCACUCUAAUGAGACUGCCGGUGACAAACCGGAGGAAGGUGGGGAUGACGUCAAGUCCUCAUGGCCCUUAUGGGUAGGGCUUCACACGUCAUACAAUGGUCGGUACAGAGGGUUGCCAACCCGCGAGGGGGAGCUAAUCCCACAAAGCCGAUCGUAGUCCGGAUCGCAGUCUGCAACUCGACUGCGUGAAGUCGGAAUCGCUAGUAAUCGUGGAUCAGCAUGUCACGGUGAAUACGUUCCCGGGUCUU
rnacentral:rRNA from 1 species